AACGAACGCUGGCGGCAGGCCUAAAACAUGCAAGUCGAACGCCCUAGCAAUAGGGAGUGGCGCACGGGUGAGUAACGCGUGGGAACGUGCCCUUCAGUACGGAACAACGUCGGGAAACUGACGCUAAUAACGUCUAAUAUCUCCGGAUCAUGGAUUUAUCGCUGAAGGAUCGGCCCGCGUCUGAUUAGCUAGUUGGUGAGGUAAUGGUUCACCAAGGCUACGAUCAGUAGCUGGUCUGAGAGGAUGAUCAGCCACACUGGGACUGAGACACGGCCCAGACUCCUACGGGAGGCAGCAGUUAGGAAAAUUGGACAAUGGGCGAAAGCCUGAUCCAGCCAUGCCGCGUGUGUGAUGAAGGCCUUAGGGUUGUAAAGCACUUUCGUUGGGGAUGAUAAUGACCGUACCCAAAGAAGAAGCCACGGCUAAAUUCGUGCCAGCAGCCGCAGUAA
rnacentral:rRNA from 1 species